CCUACGGGUGGCAGCAGUGAGGAAUAUUGGUCAAUGGUCGGGAGCCUGAACCAGCCAAGCCGCGUGAGGGAUGAAGGUACAGAGUAUCGUAAACCUCUUUUGUCAGGGAACAAAGGCGGGGACGUGUCCCCGUAUGAGUGUCCCUGAAGAAAAAGCAUCGGCUACCUCCGUGCCAGCCGCCGCGGUAAUAGGGAGGAUGCGAGCGUUAUCCGGAUUUAUUGGGUUUAAAGGGUGCGCAGUCGGUCUGUUAAGUCAGCGGUCAAAGACCGGGGCUCAACCCCGGCGCGCCGUUGAAAUUGGCAGUCUUGAGUGGGAGAGAAGUAUGCGGAAUGCGCGGUGUAGCGGUGAAAUGCAUAGAUAUCGCGCAGAACUCCGAUUGCGAAGGCAGCAUGCCGGCUCCACACUGACGCUGAGGCACGAAAGCGUGGGUAUCGAACAGGAUUAGAUACCCCAGUAGUC
rnacentral:rRNA from 1 species